rnacentral:rRNA from 1 species
UGGAGGCAGCAGUGGGGAAUAUUGGACAAUGGGCGCAAGCCUGAUCCAGCAAUACCGCGUGUGUGAAGAAGGCCUGAGGGUUGUAAAGCACUUUUAAUCGGGAGGAAGACCUGUAGGCUAAUACCCUGCAGUAUGACAUUACCGAUAGAAAAAGCACCGGCUAACUCCGUGCCAGCAGCCGCGGUAAUACGGAGGGUGCAAGCGUUAAUCGGAAUUACUGGGCGUAAAGCGUGCGUAGGCGGUUAUUUAAGUCAGAUGUGAAAGCCCCGGGCUUAACCUGGGAACUGCAUUUGAUACUGGGUAACUAGAGUUUAGUAGAGGAAAGUGGAAUUUCAGGUGUAGCGGUGAAAUGCGUAGAGAUCUGAAGGAACACCAGUGGCGAAGGCGACUUUCUGGACUAAAACUGGCGCUGAGGUACGAAAGCGUGGGUAGCAAACAGGAUUAGAUACCCCGGU